rnacentral:rRNA from 1 species
AGGACGAACGCUGGCGGCGUGCUUAACACAUGCAAGUCGAGCGGAAAGGCCUUUCGGGGUACUCGAGCGGCGAACGGGUGAGUAACACGUGAGUAAUCUGCCCAUCGCUUCAGGAUAGCCAUCGGAAACGGUGAUUAAUACUGGAUAUGACAUUCCUUCGCAUGUUGGGGUGUGGAAAGUUUUUUCGGCGGUGGAUGUGCUCGCGGCCUAUCAGCUUGUUGGUGGGGUAAUGGCCUACCAAGGCUUUGACGGGUAGCCGGCCUGAGAGGGUGACCGGCCACACUGGGGACUGAGACACGGCCCAGACUCCUACGGGAGGCAGCAGUGGGGAAU